GGAAUCUACCUGGUAGUGGGGGACAACCCGGUGAAAACCGGGCUAAUACCGCAUACGAUCCACGGAUGAAAGCAGGGGACCGCAAGGCCUUGCGCUAUCAGAUGAGCCUGCGUCGGAUUAGCUAGUUGGUGAGGUACCGGCUCACCAAGGCGACGAUCCGUAGCUGGUUUGAGAGAACGACCAGCCACACCGGAACUGAGACACGGUCCGGACUCCUACGGGAGGCAGCAGUGGGGAAUAUUGGACAAUGGGGGCAACCCUGAUCCAGCAAUGCCUGCGUGUGUGAAGAAGGCCUUCGGGUUGUAAAGCACUUUCGGUGGGGACAAACAAGGCGGAGCUAACGGUUUCCGUCCCCU
rnacentral:rRNA from 1 species